UCUUUGCAAUAUUGCGGGU
rnacentral:snRNA from 1 species